rnacentral:rRNA from 1 species
UACGAAGGGGGCUAGCGUUGCUCGGAAUCACUGGGCGUAAGGGCGCGUAGGCGGCCAUUCAAGGCAGGGGUGAAAGCCUGUGGCUCAACCACAGAAUUGCCUUUGAUACUGUUUGGCUAGAGACCGGAAGAGGUAAGUGGAACCGCGAGUGUAGAGGUGAAAUUCGUAGAUAUUCGCAAGAACACCAGUGGCGAAGGCGGCUUACUGGUCCGGUUCUGACGCUGAGGCGCGAAAGCGUGGGGAGCAAACAGG